rnacentral:misc_RNA from 1 species
GAUGAAGAACGCAGCAAAAUGCGAUAAGUAAUGUGAAUUGCAGAAUUCAGUGAAUCAUCGAAUCUUUGAACGCACAUUGCGCCCGCUGGUAUUCCGGCGGGCAUGCCUGUUCGAGCGUCAUUUCAACCCUCAAGCCCCCGGGUUUGGUGUUGGGGAUCGGCUCUGCCCUUCUGGGCGGUGCCGCCCCCGAAAUACAUUGGCGGUCUCGCUGCAGCCUCCAUUGCGUAGUAGCUAACACCUCGCAACUGGAACGCGGCGCGGCCAUGCCGUAAAACCCCAACUUCUGAAUGUUGACCUCGGAUCAUGUAGGAAUACCCGCUGAACUUAAGCAUAUCAAUAAGCGGAGGA